AGGCAGCAGGCGCGCAAAUUACCCAAUCCUAAUACAGGGAGGUAGUGACAAGAAAUAACAAUCCAGGACUUUUUGGUUUUGUAAUUGGAAUGAGUUAAGUAUAAACCCCUUUACAAGUAUCAAUUGGAGGGCAAGUCUGGUGCCAGCAGCCGCGGUAAUUCCAGCUCCAAUAGCGUAUAUUAAAGUUGUUGCAGUUAAAAAGCUCGUAGUUGGAUUUCUGUUAAUAAUUUAUAUAAUA
rnacentral:rRNA from 1 species